rnacentral:rRNA from 1 species
AUUGAACGCUGGCGGCAUGCCUUACACAUGCAAGUCGAACGGCAGCACGGGAGCAAUCCUGGUGGCGAGUGGCGACGGUGAGUAAUAUAUCGGAACGUGCCCGGUCGUGGGGGAUAACGUAGCGAAAGCUACGCUAAUACCGCAUACGAUCUAUGGAUGAAAGCGGGGGAUCGCAAGACCUCGCGCGAUUGGAGCGGCCGAUAUCAGAUUAGGUAGUUGGUGAGGUAAAGGCUCACCAAGCCGACGAUCUGUAGCUGGUCUGAGAGGACGACCAGCCACACUGGGACUGAGACACGGCCCAGACUCCUACGGGAGGCAGCAGUGGGGAAUAUUGGGACAAU